rnacentral:rRNA from 1 species
UACGUAGGGGGGCAAGCGUUGUCCGGAUUUAUUGGGCGUAAAGAGCGUGUAGGCGGCCAGGUAGGUCCGUUGUGAAAACUGGAGGCUUAACCUCCAGCUGUCGAUGGAAACCAUCUGGCUAGAGUCCGGAAGAGGAGAGUGGAAUUCCUGGUGUAGCGGUGAAAUGCGCAGAUAUCAGGAAGAACACCCGUGGCGAAGGCGGCUCUCUGGGACGGUACUGACGCUGAGACGCGAAAGCGUGGGGAGCAAACAGG